rnacentral:misc_RNA from 1 species
UUUCCGUAGGUGAACCUGCGGAAGGAUCAUUAUUGUAUAACCGAGGUGCGAGGGCUGUCGCUGACCCGAAAGGUCGUGCACGCCCGAGUGCCCUCACACACAUCCAUCUCACCCCUAUGUGCACCACCGCGUGGGUCCCCCUUUGGCUUGUUCGGAGGGGGGCUUACGUUUUCACACAAACUUUGUAUGCAGUGUAGAAUGUAUUUUUUGUUUUUGCGAUCACGCAAUCAAUACAACUUUUAACAACGGAUCUCUUGGUUCUG